GAUCAUGGCUCAGGAUGAACGCUAGCUACAGGCUUAACACAUGCAAGUCGAGGGGCAGCAUGGUCUUAGCUUGCUAAGGCCGAUGGCGACCGGCGCACGGGUGAGUAACGCGUAUCCAACCUGCCUUACACUCUUGGACAGCCUUCUGAAAGGNGAUAAUACAAGAUGUUAUCAUGGGUAAGGCAUUUUCGUCAUGAUUAAAGGUUUACCGGUGUAAGAUGGGAGUGCGUU
rnacentral:rRNA from 1 species